rnacentral:lncRNA from 1 species
CAUUUUUUGCUGUGGAAAACAUCAUAGAAGCUGUGGAGCAGAAAUAGCAAGCCCAGUUCCAAAAAUCCCCACCCUUGGAGUUGGAGUUCCAAGUAUUCUUCAACGAUGUCACAACCAAUGAUUUCAACACUCUCUUCAAAACCCUCCAUUCCAAUAGAAAAUACUUUGCUGCUGGAUUGCCCGGUACUUUCUACGGCCGCCUCCUCCCCAAGUCCACAUUGCAUUUCGCGUACUCUUCAUAUUGCUUACAGUGGCUCUCUAAGGUCCCAAAAGAAGUUGUAGACAACAAGUCUCCUGCAUGGAACAAUGGCAGCAUCCAAUGUGAUGGUCUCAAAAAAGAAGUCACCAAGGCAUAUUCAGCUCAGUUCCAGAGUGACAUGAACACCUUUUUGAAUGCUAGAGCACAAGAAAUUGUGGGUGGAGGAUUGAUGGUGAUUAUAAUGGCCGGUCUUCCUGAUGGGAUCUUUAUGUCUCAGGCAGGAGUUGGAAUGUACUAUGAACUUCUCGGAUCAUGCCUCGUCGACAUGGCUAAAUUGGUAAAAUAAUUCUCUCUCUAACUGAUUAGAAGCAAAAUCCUAGUAAGUAUACUCUUUGACAUAUGCAGAUCGUUCUUCUUUGUAGGGAGAGAUUAGUGAAGAAAAGGUGAACUCGUUCAACUUGCCUCUGUACUAUUCUUCUUCUACGGAGAUUGAAGAAAUCAUAAAAGUAAACGAGAAUUUUAGUAUUGAGAUAAUGCACUCAUUGAGUCAUCAGAUUUGGCAAACGUCGAAGAAAUCCAAUAUCGAAGUUUCUGUUUCAGGGGGCAGAGCUGUUUUUCAGGGUCUUCUGGAAGAGCACUUUGCAAGUGAAGUUGUAGAAAAAAUAUUUGAGCAUUUUGCUAAGAAGCUUUGUGACAAUUUCUCUAUCUUCGAUGGCGCAGCCCAUGAACACAUCGACCAUUUCAUCCUGCUCAAGCGUAACGUUAAUUGAAAUCACUCACAGUUAUGUGCUCGCUAUUCCCUUAGUUUGGAAUUUGGAUUCCAUUGUUAUCAAAUAAUGAAGUGUGCAUCUCAUGCUGGAGAUGUUGAACUUCAGAUCAAAUAAUUUGGAUUCCAUUUCUAUGCUAUUUCGAUCUCAUUUAUUUGCUUCAAUUCCUUCUUUCAGAAGGUUAGAACUAAUAUCACGGCUUCACUUUUUGGAAAAGCUUAUGCACUAAACUUUCUCUCAAGGUUCAUGUUCAUUAUAUCAAAUUUGAAACUAUAGAACUGCGAAGACAACGAUAAAAUAUGUGUGUCUGGAUGGAGUGAUAAAUAUUAUAAAUUAAUGAAUUUGAAAGCCAAAACCACUCAUUAGGAAAGAAGACUAAAACUAAUUUAAGAACUUUCAAAUUAUAAAGGCAAAAUGUUUUAGUAUGCUUUCAGGGAGUCUCGAACAAGGAAACUAUAAGAUGCAGCAUGUGUAGAAAAAAAUCUGAUGCUUUUAUAUAUAUAUAUUAAGAUCACAAAUUAUAAUGGUGUUUAGAUAUUUUUAAUUAAUUCGUUUUUUUUAUGAUAUUAGAUAUUUUUAUUAAUAUGAUUAGCUAAAAGUUGUUCUUAUUAUAAACUAAAAGAAUGUCAGAAGAUAUUCUUGUCUCUAGAAUACAAUAAAGGUUCAUUUAUAUAUUUAAUUAAUUUAGUUCAUGCGUUUGUAUUAUACAGUUACUAGUUGUAGGGUGCGUUCCGUUGUGGGCGGCACCUCUAAUUGUUUUUUGCACUAAAAAAAAUUCAAGUCAUGAGAAUUUUUUUUAGUGGUCAUUGGGUUAGUAUCGAAAUCUCCUAACCUGUUUUCUUGUUUAUAUUCAAUUAAAUAAAAUGAAAGUAAAAUUUUUAUUCUUAUAUUUAAUUUAAUUAAAAAAUAAAGUAUCUAUAUAAAAAAAUAAAUUUAAUAAAAAACAACAAAUUAAAAAAAUUCACAAUAACCCAUAUUAUUUUCAAAAUCAGCAAAAAAUCUUAUAGGAAACAAAUGAAAAAAAUUAAUCGAGCCCAAUUUUCAAUAAAUAAAUUUGAAAGAUGAAACUGAAAAAAACAUGAGUUAAAAAAAAUCAUGGAGUAAGUAUCUCAUAUUUAUAUUAAUUAAUUAAUUUAAAUUAAUUAUAAAAUAUAUCUUUUAAAAAAGUUAAAUUUAAUAAAGAAUGGUAAAUAAAAAGAUCUAAGAUAACAUGAGUUAUUUUUAAAAUUAGUAAAAAAUCCUAUAAGAAGUAAGUAAAAAUAUUAAUGGAGUUCAAUCUAUAAUUAAAUAAAUAAUUUAAAACUAAAUUAUCACUAGAAUAGGACCACUAAAAGAAAAAAAAAUUAUUCAACUAAAUUAUUCUAAUUGAAUAAAUAAUCUAAGAAUGGGCCAUAGAAGCCUCAUUGUUCUAAGAGGUUGGAUACUUGACCAAAUAGGCCCACUAAAACCCAUUAACAGAUUCAUUAGAGCCACCAAAGAAUAAAUAACUCCUUAAGGUCCACAAAAAGACAGUGAAAUGGCUGGCAGCAGCAGCCAUCAUCAAUAAUUCACAUACGUAGUCUACUUGCCUACGGGUUUUUUCACAAACAAGGAUCUCUCCCUCCCUCCCUGGCUUAGCUCUCUCCCCUGUCCUCUCUUCACCACCAUUUCUUGCUGUACUUCCAUUUCCUACUUGCUUCUUUUUGCUUAUUAAGACCCACAAUUUAAAUUUCCGGCAAAAAGAAAACAAAAAAAAGCUAUGGCUGAGGCAACUAUUUCUGCACUUGUUAGCACCGUCUUGGGGAACUUGAACACACUUGUACUUGAAGAGCUUGGACUUGUUUUUGGCAUCCAGACCGAGUUUGAGAAACUCAAGCGCACCUUCAUGACGGUUCAAGCUGUCCUCAAGGAUGCUGAGGAGAAGCAGUGGAAAGAUGAGGCAAUCAGGAUUUGGCUGACAGACCUCAAAGAUGCUGCCUAUGAUGCUGAUGAUGUGCUGGAUGAGUUCGCUAUUGAAGCUCAGAGGCGCAGACAGCGAGGGGGUCUUAAAAACCGAGUAAGGUCUUUGUUUUCUCUUCAUCAGAAUCCACUUGUUUUUCGAUUGAAAAUGGCUCAUAAGGUAAAGAAUGUAAGAGAAAAGCUUGAUUCCAUUGCCAAUGAGAAAAAUAAGUUCAGACUAACAGAGGGAGUUGGAGAGAACGAAGCUGAUAGCUUCGAUUGGCGGAUAACUUGCUCGCUUGUUAACGAAUCAGAAAUCUAUGGAAGAGACAAGGAAAAAGAAGAGCUGAUCAGUUUGUUGCUCGCCAAUUCAGAUGACCUCUCUGUCUGUGCAGUAUGUGGCAUGGGGGGGCUGGGGAAGACAGCACUUGCUCAAUUUGUCUACAACGAUGCAAGUGUAAAAGGGCAUUUUGAUUUGAGUAUCUGGGUUUGCGUAUCUGUUGAUUUCGACAUAAGGAGACUAUCAAGAGCUAUCAUAGAGUCCAUUGAAGGCAACCCUUGUACCAUUCAAGAGAUGGACACUUUGCAACGACGCCUCCAAGAAAAGUUGAUUGGAAGGAGGUUUUUGCUUGUGUUGGAUGAUGUUUGGGAUCAUUACCAUGAAAAAUGGAAUGCAUUGAAAGAUGCUUUGAGAGUUGGAGCUAGAGGAUGUGCUAUUCUAAUAACAACUCGUCUAAAGCAGGUUGCUGAUAAAAUGGCUACUAUUCCUGUUCACCUAAUGGGAAGAUUGUCGGAAGAUGAUUCUUGGCUUCUGUUUGAGCGACUUGCAUUUGGGAUGAGAAGAAGGGAGGAUUAUGUGCACUUAGAAAGUAUUGGAAAGGCGAUAGUCAAUAAGUGCAGUGGCGUUCCUUUAGCUCUAAAGGCAUUGGGGAGCUUGAUGCGCUUCAAGAGAAAUGAACGAGAGUGGUUAUCUGUCAAAGAAAGUGAGAUUUGGAAUCUACCAGACGAAGGUGGCACAAUUUUACCUGCCUUGAAGUUAAGUUAUAACAAUUUGCCACCACAUUUGAAACAAUGCUUUGGAUUUUGCUGUAUGUUUCCGAAGGAUUAUGUCAUGAAGAAAGACGAGUUAGUAAAGCUAUGGAUGGCCAAUGGAUUUAUUGAUCCUGCAGGGCAAAUGGAUUUGCAUGAGACAGGUUACGAGAUUUUUGAUGACUUGGUUGGGAGAUCAUUUUUUCAGGAGUUCAAGGAGGAUGGCUUCGGAAACAUAACUUGCAAAAUGCAUGAUCUUAUCCAUGAUCUUGCAAAAUCAGUUAUGAUAGAAGAAUGCUAUUUGAUCGAGAAGAAUAGGAGACCUAGAAUUCCUAAGACAGUUCGUCACAUGACUUUUCUUGGUAGAAGUCUUUGUUAUUAUGACAAGGACCUUGUCAAAGUGCAAUCAUUGCGGUCUCUGAUAUCCAUUCAGGUCGAUUAUUACCGGCGUGGUGCUCUUUUAUUCAAGGUGUCUUCACAAAAGAAACUACGGACGUUGAGUUUAAGCAAUUUCUGGUUUGUGAAAUUUCCGGAGCCGAUUGGUAAUUUGCAACAUCUAAGAUAUCUAGACGUCUCUUGUUCUCUUAUCCAAAAACUGCCUGAAUCAAUCAGCUCUCUUCAAAACUUGCAGACCCUAAAUUUGAGUUACUGCCCUCUGCUUUAUAUGCUUCCAAAAAGGAUGAAGGACAUGAAAAGUCUCAUGUAUCUUGACCUCACACGUUGUGAUGCGCUUCAAUGUAUGCCUUCAGGGAUGGGACAACUGGCUUGUCUGCGAAAGCUAGGUAUGUUCAUUGUGGGUAAAGAGGCUGGUCAUCACAUAGGGGAGCUGCAAAGACUGAAUUACAUUGGGGGUGAUUUGAGCAUCAAGGAUUUAGGUAACGUCCAAGGUUUUACAGAUGCACAAAAUGCUAAUUUGAUGAGGAAGACAAAUCUUCAAUCACUGAGUUUGUCUUGGCGAGAAGACAAAAACAGCAUAAUCAGUGAGGCAAACAGUGAAGAUGUUCUUUGUGCUCUUGAACCCCAUUCUCAUAUGAAGAAGUUAGAGAUAAGCGGAUAUCGAGGAUCCAAAUUUCCAGAUUGGAUGAUGGAGUUGCGUCUACCAAACCUAGUGGAGAUCUCACUAGAAUCGUGCAUGAAUUGUGAACAUCUUCCUCCUUUUGGGAAACUGCGGUUUCUUAAGCAUCUUCAAUUGAAGAGAAUGGACACUGUGAAGUGUAUUGGCAGUGAGAUGUAUGGAGAGGGAGAGAAUCCAUUUCCAUCAUUAGAGAGGUUGACUUUGGGUCCAAUGAUGAACUUAGAGGAGUGGGAAACAAAUACCAUGGGUGGAAGGGAAAUUUUCACUUGCCUUGAUGAAUUACAGAUCAGAAAAUGCCCCAAGCUGGUCGAGUUACCAAUUAUUCCGUCGGUGAAACAUUUAACUAUUGAGGACUGCACUGUAACUUUGCUGAGGUCAGUUGUGAAUUUCACUUCUAUUACCUACCUUCGAAUUGAGGGCUUCGAUGAAUUGGCAGUUCUUCCUGAUGGACUGUUGCAAAACCAUACAUGCCUUCAAAAGCUGUCAAUUACGAAGAUGAGAAGCCUAAGGUCGCUGUCAAAUCAGCUAAAUAACCUAUCUUCUCUUAAGCAUUUGGUUAUUAUGAAUUGUGAUAAACUUGAAAGCUUCCCAGAAGGUGUCCAGAACCUCAAUUCUUUGGAGCUGUUAAGUAUACAUGGAAUGCCAAAAAUCACUGCACUGUCUGUUUUACCUUCAUCUCUUGCUACCUUGCGGAUUCUAAAUUGUGAAGAACUUACGUCUCUAUCUGAGGGACUGCAAUACCUGACAGCACUCAAGGAUUUGGAACUUUCUAGAUGUGUAAAGUUAGAUUCCUUGCCACAGAGAAUACGACAUCUCACUUCUCUCCAGUCUCUAACAAUCUCUUGUUGUACGGAAGUAUCUUGUCUUCCGAAUCAGAUACGGCAUCUCACAUCCCUUUCAAGACUGCAUAUCCAUGGAUGCUCUAAUUUGAUGUCUUUGCCAGAAGGGAUAAGGUAUCUCGAAAUGCUCAGAGAGUUGGAAAUUGCAAGAUGUCCAAAUGUGGAGAGACGGUGCAAGAAAGAAAAAGGAAAGGACUGGCCUAAGAUAGCUCACAUCCCUACCAUCAUCAUUAAUAACCAAGUAGUACAGUCCUCGGAGACCUGAAGGAUAUAUGAUUGCUCGGUACUUGUUGGGAUUUCAUUUGGCUAAUAUUAUUGUGUAUAAUCUUUUUUCACCAAGUAAUAAUGGUUGUGGUGAUCAAAUAAAAUGUAAAAUUGUCAUAAGAUUUUAGGGAUGGUAACCAGUUUUAGAUGAAUAAGCGGUAUCUGAGGAAUUCUAUUUUUCUUCAGUGUUGUUUUGUGCUUAUUUACAGUCUAUUAUUGCUCAAUAAAAUUAUGAAUCUGAUUUGAAAAUUGAUUCUAGUAGAUAUACUGAUAUAAUAUAAACAAACUUAUUUUGUAUCAAUCCCUGGUUUUUGUGAUUUUCACUUGAGCUUCUAAUGGUGCAAGCAGGGCAGGCAGGUAAUGUCCACUGAGGAAUCUUCAAAAUCAAGAGAGCCUGAACUUUGCUGCAUAUAACACAAAUAUGUUUGAAUUGAUUGAAGCAUUGCAUCGCAGGGGAAACUAGCAGAUGAUGUAUUAAAAUGUAUAUUUAGGAUCUGCAAUGCAGAAUAUGAAUCUUGAACGUAUUGAAAGUUGUAGCAUGUUGCCACAAGAAAUCAGUUUUACAUAGGCACGAAUGAUCCUUGGUGUGAAUUUUUGUUGCUUAUACUUCACAAUGAAGUUCAUCUUGGGGUUUGAUAAGGCUCUUUUUUUUUCUUUUUUCUUUUUAUAGUGGCCUCAAGCCCAGCAGACAGCAGUAUAAUUAUUGAACAAAAGGGAUGCUUAAAAAGAUAAUCUUGGUCUAGAGCUGAUAUUUGGUAUUAUGAGCCACUAUUUCAGAAACCAAGUAUUAUUUUGAGUUGAGAUUUUAUUGCCAUUGGUAAAAAGCAAGUAGUUUGCCAAGUUCCUUUUUGCCAUCUACUAGAAUGAUUCAUAUGUUUUGUCCUUCAAAGAUUUCAUGUGUUCCACUUGUUAAUUGUGAAAUAAUGGUAACCUAGAGUGGACUAAUUUCGACCAAAUUAUGGUAAUUUAUACUUACUUUCUCGGUAACUUGAUGUAUAAUUUCAUAUAAUUCUGUUUCUUCAUUUAAGUCUACCAAUUGUGAAUUUCUUUUAGAGCAGAAUUUCUCUUCCUGUUCCAACCCAUGCAGACUAGGAAUCCUGAAGAUUCCUCGAGAACAGUAUAGUAAAGGAGUUUCAUCAGAGUAAUGCAGUUGAUGGAAUGUACUUUGAUGGAGUUGAGAUGAUGAGUUUGAAUUCAUAAAACAUGUAUUGUCGAUGAUCUUAGGCUUCUCUGUAAUGGUAAUAACCACUGUGUUUAUGGCUGCUUGUAGGCAGAGCAGUAAGGCUAUCAUGGGUGAAUAUUAUGGCUUGUAGUCUUCUUCCCAUUGUAAAUCUGCCCAUCUACUUGGGGAAGUACAGUAUCUGACCAUACCUGCUGGUAUAUAUUUGAUUAUGGUGAUGAUGAUUAUUAUGGUUAUUAAAAUUGAAUUUUUUUAAUGAUUUCAUAAUCAUUUACAUGCUUGUUAAGGAAAUUAUGGGAUUUAAUAAAAAAUAAAAUUCAUAGGAAAAUUAUCUAGAAUAUGUCUGCUAGCGUGUUUGGAAGUGUGGUUACGGUUGCUUUUCAAAGUGUUUUUCACUCGAAAAAUAUCAAAAUAAUAUUUUUUAUUUUUUAAAAAUCAUUUUUAACAUCAACGCAUCAAAAUAAUCCAAAAAUACCAAAAAAUAUUAAUUUGAAGCAAAUAAAAAAAUUUUAAAUUUUUUCAAAAGCGUUUUUGAAACAUAAAAACAAACUGGAACGUCAGCUUGAACUAGAAAAGUUUUCCAGGGACAGCACGAACUGAGCCAGGCAAUUUUUGUCCUAGCCAAUAGUUAUACGAAGAUGACCAGUAUCUCCAAUUUUAUAUGAAGAUGAUGGAAUAUUUAUUAUAAUAUAAAGUAUGAUACAAACAGCCUACAAAUAUUUAUAUGUACUAUAUAUAUAUAUUCUUUUUUUUUUCUUAAAGGCGUUGAAAGCUCACCAACUCUGCAUGCUUGAUUGGGUUUGUCAGUGUUGUUUAGUUCUAGUCUUCUUUUCCAUAUAUAUCCUGCAGCCAUGAUUCGGAGCCUUUGCAAGUCUUUAGGCAUCGUUUUUGCUGCCUCUUUGUGGCCUUUUCUGAAUGUUGCUCUCUGUUGUUUCAAUCCUCUCGCCCUUCUCGGAAAACCGGAGAUAGCAUUGGAAACAAAUCGCUAUAAGUCUACCGUUCUGUUGAAUUAGAGGUAGACCUACCAGAGGAAGCAAAGCCUGCGUCAGUUUGAAAGACAGAGAUGGCAACUGAAGAGAUCAAAGAAUUGCCAAAAUCAUGGGCCAUGGUUGGUGGAGAUGGACCUCAAAGCUAUACUCAAAAUUCCUCCUAUCAGGUGCAUCUUCUUCCCCUUAUAAUAAUAAUAGUAGCAAUACUAAAACACUUUCACAAAACAGCCUCUCUUUUUUUACUUUGGUUUUUUUUUCAGUUUUAUUAUUUGAUGUUGAGUUGAUUGAAAUUUCAUGUUAAUAAUUUGUUUUUAUUUGUCUUUUAUGUGUUCAUUACAAUUUUUAAAAACCAUAUUGACAUCAUGAUAAUAUUCAAUUUCAUGAAAAAGUUAUAAUUUGGUUGUUCGUAAAGAAUUGGAUGCCAUUUUUAUUUUUUUUUUAAAAAAAACCAAUAUCAAGUAUCAAUUCUAGUCAUUUUUCUUUUUAGCUUUUGAUCAUCAAUUUUUUUUCUUUUCAAUUGGAUCCUCAAAAUUGUGUUGAUUGGAAAAUAAGAUUAAUGGUUUGUUUUAGUUUGUUUUUUAUGUAGUUAUCUGGAUCUGAAAAAAAAAGUGUUGUCAUUGUCUUGGCGCUCAAUUUCACAAAGAAUAAUCUAUUUUAUUGUUUGCAAAAUAUUAAAAAUAAAAGGAUUGAAAUAAUAUCACAUAAAAAUUAAGAGGUUUUUUUUUGAAAAAACUAUGAGUCAGUUUCAUUUCCACAAAUUUCUUCUUUAGGUUUUGGCAAAAAUCAUUUUUGUUCCCUUGAGUUUAGAGAAUAAAGGGUUUGAUCCAGAACUUUAUUUUUCUUAUAUUUUAGUAUUUGAAUUUUAGAUUGAAGAGAAAGAGUCUUCAAAUUAUGAUCAAUAGAGAGAGAAAUUGACAAACAUGCACUUUUCAAUAACAAAACUUGAUGUUUUUGGUGUCAACAAAUUCCAUUUUAAUUAGAUCUUUUUUUUCUUGAACUUUGUUAAAAUGAUUUUAUCUUAAAUUUUUUAUUUAAAGCCAUAUUAUAUCUAUGUUGAUUGUUUAUAUUGUCUUUAAACCUACUAAGUUAAUUAUAUCAAUAUUAAAAAAACUUUUAAAUGGUUUGAUUUGAAAUUUAAGUUAGAUAAGAAUUCAACUAAAAAAAUGUUAAGAUUGACGAACUCCUUUCAAAAAUUUCCUCGCAACUUUAAUUUUUUUUCUGCUUAUUUUUUUUAUUUUAGUGUAGCUCGCGCCAAAGCGUUAAGAACGUAUCUAGUCUACUCUAAACUAAUUCUUUGCACGCCUAUAAUGCAUCUGCUUAUUGCAACAGAAAGGAGUGGUGGAUGCUUCAAAGGAAAAGGUGACUGAAGGCAUCAAAGACAAGCUUGAUUUUAAAAGCCUUGGUUUUGACUCAUCGAAUGACACAUUUCGAAUAGCAGAUUUUGGUUGUUCUGUUGGACCCAAUACAUUUUUUGCUGUGGAAAACAUCAUAGAAGCUGUGGAGCAGAAAUACCAAGCCCAGUUCCAAAAAUCCCCACCCUUGGAGUUGGAGUUCCAAGUAUUCUUCAACGAUGUCACAACCAAUGAUUUCAACACUCUCUUCAAAACCCUCCAUUCCAAUAGAAAAUACUUUGCUGCUGGACUGCCCGGUACUUUCUACGGCCGCCUCCUCCCCAAGUCCACACUGCAUUUGGCGUACUCUUCAUAUUGCUUACAGUGGCUCUCUAAGGUCCCAAAUGAAGUUGUAGACAGCAAGUCUCCUGCAUGGAACAAGGGCAGCAUCCAAUGUGAUGGUCUCAAAAAAGAAGUCACCAAGGCAUAUUCAGCUCAGUUCCAGAGUGACAUGAACACCUUUUUGAAUGCUAGAGCACAAGAAAUUGUGGGUGGAGGAUUGAUGGUGAUUAUAAUGGCCGGUCUUCCUAAUGGGAUCUUUAUGUCUCAGGCAGGAGUUGGAAUGUACUAUGACCUUCUCGGAUCAUGCCUCGUCGACAUGGCUAAAUUGGUAAAAUAAUUCUCUCUCUA